CUUCUCGCCGGUGCGUCCACCGCCGGCGUGCGUCGGUCGGCCUCGCGGUCGGCCGCGCACGAGGCGGGCCGUCGCGGCUGUUUACUUUGAACAAAUUAGAGUGCUCAAAGCGGGCUAACACUUGCCUGAAUAUUGUACGCAUGGAAUAAUAGAAUAGGACCUCGGUUCUGUUUUGUUGGCUUUCUGAUACCAGAGGUAAUGAUUAAUAGGGACAACUGGGGGCAUUCGUAUUGCGACGUUAGAGGUGAAAUUCUUGGAUCGUCGCAAGACGGACUAAAGCGAAAGCAUUUGCCAAAGGUGUUUUCAUUAAUCAAGAACGAAAGUUAGAGGUUCGAAGGCGAUUAGAUACCGCUGUAGUUCUAACCAUAAAUGAUGCCAGCCAGCGAUCCGCCGAAGUUUCACAAUUUUAACCCGGUGGGCAGCUCCCGGGAAACCAAAGCUUUCGGGCUCCGGGGGGAGUNAUAUGCAGAGCUU
rnacentral:rRNA from 1 species